rnacentral:sRNA from 1 species
CUUUCUGCGGCAUGCAGUCAUAUCGCACUGCAUAGUGUCGCGAUAACUCAGCAGUGUUAGUCCCGAUGCUCCAUCCAGUCAGGCUGAGAAAAGGCCCUGGUCCAUAUUUGCACUUCGAAAGCAGAUACAAGUUACAUCUCGAUAUUCCCUAUUGAGUCGGCGCUGUGAUACCCGAAACCAUCCCAACAUCUUACACUGUGACAUUCUUGCAUUCUGGAAAGAUAAGAGAACAAAGAAACGAUAGAUGAUGAUUCCAUAGAAUUUCGCUACUCUACAUACCAUUUCUUCAAUGCGCAUGACACGAUGGCCCUGGCUCGUAUCCAAUACCAUGAGGCGAUCGAGGGUACCAGUUGUGCAUCAUCUUGCCU